GACGAACCGUGCGAACGUUGUUCGGAAUCACUGGGCUUAAAGGGCGCGUAGGCGGGCUCACAAGUCAGGGGUGAAAUCCCACGGCUCAACCGUGGAAGUGCCUUUGAUACUGUGGGUCUUGAGGGAGGUAGGGGCGUGCGGAACUUCCGGUGGAGCGGUGAAAUGCGUAGAUAUCGGAAGGAACACCGGUGGCGAAGGCGCACAUCUGGCCCGAUACUGACGCUGAGGCGCGAAAGCUAGGGGAGCAAACGGG
rnacentral:rRNA from 1 species